rnacentral:lncRNA from 1 species
UUCUCCUCUCCGAUCAAACUUCAGUCUCCUCUCCGAUGCUGCUAGGGAGUAUGAUGGUCUGCUUGCAGCUUCUGCUCAUCAUCCCCAGUCCCAAUUUCUAGGGUUCUUCCCCAAUUUCAAAUCCACGGGUUGAGAAAUUGGGAGACCCAAUUCGUGAUAUACGGAGGCCAUACACUUGGGUCUCCCAAUUUCUCUUCUUCAUCAUUCAUGAAAUCCAAAUUGCUUCAUCUCAUCAUCAUCCCUUCUUUUUCUUCUCAAUCUAUCCCCAAAUCGUAGUAGGAUUCCCAAUUUUCUAGGGUUCUUCCCCAAUUUCAAAUCCACCCAAAGAAGUUGUGCACGAAAAUCAGGGAAUAAGCUGUCCAUCUAAUUACUUAUCUUCUUUCUUUUCGAUCCGUUUUAUAUCUUCGUUGCUUCUCAUAAUUUUCCCUUAUUAUUGGUAAGAAAUUCUUUAUUUUUUGGGAGUUUUUUUCCUGAGAUUUUCCUAUUUUUUUAUCGUUUCUUUUUACCUAAUUUAAUAAACUGUAAUUUUUGUAAUAAAUGAUUUUAAAUUUUCAGAAAACUUAAUUUGUAGUUUGACGUUAAUUUGAGCUCCAUUUUCUUUUUUUCAGCAAGAUCCGUUUAAAAUUUCUGCAAAAAAAUUCUGUAUUUUGAGUAAAGUUAUCGACUUUCAUACUUUUUUAGGGCUUUUGUAUGAAAGCUUGCUGGAAUUUAGUUGGAUUCUGACCACUGGAUUUUAGAAAAAAUGUUAGAAUUUUUUGUUUAGGGUGUAAUGGUUUCUGAUUAUGGUGUAGUUCAAUCCUCUGUAUCAAAUCUGUUACUACCUCCGUUGAUUCAUUCAUUCAUUCAUUCAUGUUAGGUGAUGAUCCAUAUUUGAGCACAGUUCUUUCAAAAGCUUCUCUCCACUCAUGCUUCUCUCUCCCAUCUUAUUCUGGAAAAUCCAAGGUUCAACUGAACCUUCCAAGAGGGAUUUGUGGGCAAGAAUCUCAUUUACAGCAUCAAGCACUAGUUUUCUUUGGACUUUUUCGUUGGGAUUUGAUCUUGCACUUUUCUCAUGGUGCUUGUCUGCAAGCUCAGUCUUUGCCCUGGCUUUUUCAAGAACAUGAAACAAGUUGGGAUGGAUUGAAAUUCCUGAUGGAUGGAGCUGAAUGGUUGUCAAGCUGGAGCCUAAACCUAUAAGUAAACCUGCUGCUAGUAAAAUAUCAACAAUGUAUCUGUGGUCUGGAUUUGUAUUGUCACAAAGAGAUUCAAUGUGAUUAGUGGUAGCUUCAUCUUUAGUUGAGUUCACUAGGCGAAGUUUAUGAACCAAGUUGUAAAUGUUUUCUAGUUUCCUAUGAUCGAACUUAGAGCUGAGGUUGGUUCUUCUGCUGUUCUGUAAGUUAUAUAUAUACACUGCAUUCCACUCAGCGUUCACUAUUUAGAGUGUCAUAAUCUGUACAGAGAGAGAGAGAGAGAGAGAGAGAGAGAGAGAGUGAUAUAGAUAGUCAGGCUUGCAUCCUUUGAUCAAGUAAAUGAAAGAGAAAUAUCUCUUUUGAUUUCCAUUUUUUUUUCAUUUUAAAAUUUGUGUACUGCAUCAAAGUAUUAUGUUCUCUUUCUGUACUUCUGAUUAUGGUGUUGUUCAAUUGUCUGGAUAUCUCACUCUUAACGCCAGGAUCUUUCUCCACGUCUCAAUCACGAA